GACGAACGCUGGCGGCGUGGAUUAGGCAUGCAAGUCGAACGGUAGGAUACCUUCGGGUAUCCGAGAGUGGCGAACGGGUGAGUAACACGUAGGUGAUCUACCCUCAAGAUUGGGACAACCCAGGGAAACUUGGGCUAAUACCGGAUGAAAGCAGCAGUGAUGUUGUUUGAAAGGUGGCGUAAGCUGCCGUUUGGGGAUGAGCCUGCGCUCUAUUAGUUAGUUGGUGAGGUAACGGCUUACCAAGGCGAUGAUAGAUAGGCGGCCUUAACGGGUGGUCGCCCACACUGGGAUUGAGAUACGGCCCAGACUCCUACGGGAGGCAGCAGUCGAGAAUAGUCUACAAUGGUCGGAAGACUGAUAGUGCGACGCCGCGUGAACGAUGAAUCCCUUCGGGGUGUAAAGUUCUUUUAUAUGUGAGCAGUGCUUCUUAUAUUAACAGUAUGGGGAGAGAGAUAUUAGCAUAUGAAUAAGCAACGGCUAACUCCGUG
rnacentral:rRNA from 1 species